rnacentral:rRNA from 1 species
CCUACGGGUGGCUGCAGUGGGGAAUAUUGCACAAUGGGCGCAAGCCUGAUGCAGCCAUGCCGCGUGUGUGAAGAAGGCCUUCGGGUUGUAAAGCACUUUCAGCGGGGAGGAAGGCGGUGAGGUUAAUAACCUCAUCGAUUGACGUUACCCGCAGAAGAAGCACCGGCUAACUCCGUGCCAGCAGCCGCGGUAAUACGGAGGGUGCAAGCGUUAAUCGGAAUUACUGGGCGUAAAGCGCACGCAGGCGGUCUGUCAAGUCGGAUGUGAAAUCCCCGGGCUCAACCUGGGAACUGCAUUCGAAACUGGCGGGCUAGAGUCUUGUAGAGGGGGGUAGAAUUCCAGGUGUAGCGGUGAAAUGCGUAGAGAUCUGGAGGAAUACCGGUGGCGAAGGCGGCCCCCUGGACAAAGACUGACGCUCAGGUGCGAAAGCGUGGGGAGCAAACAGGAUUAAUACCCUGGUAGUC